AUUGAACGCUGGCGGCAGGCCUAACACAUGCAAGUCGAACGGCAGCACAGAAGAGCUUGCUCUUUGGGUGGCGAGUGGCGGACGGGUGAGUAAUGUCUGGGAAACUGCCCGAUGGAGGGGGAUAACUACUGGAAACGGUAGCUAAUACCGCAUAACGUCGCAAGACCAAAGUGGGGGACCUUCGGGCCUCACACCAUCCGAUGUGCCCAGAUGGGAUUAGCUAGUAGGUGGGGUAAUGGCUCACCUAGGCGACGAUCCCUAGCUGGUCUUAGAGGAUGACCAGCCACACUGGAACUGAGACACGGUCCAGACUCCUACGGGAGGCAGCAGUGGGGAAUAUUGCACAAUGGGCGCAAGCCUGAUGCAGCCAUGCCGCGUGUAUGAAGAAGGCCUUCGGGUUGUAAAGUACUUUCAGCGGGGAGGAAGGCGGUGAGGUUGAUAACCUCGCCGAUUGACGUUACCCGCAGAAGAAGCACCGGCUAACUCCGUGCCAGCAGCCGCAGUAA
rnacentral:rRNA from 1 species